GGGGCUAUAGCUCAGCUGGGAUGAGCGCCUGACUGGCAGUCAGGAGGUCGUCGGUUCGAUCCCGACUAGCUCCACCA
rnacentral:tRNA from 1 species